rnacentral:rRNA from 1 species
CGAUUCCUACGGGAGGCAGCAGUGGGGAAUCUUGCACAAUGGGGGAAACCCUGAUGCAGCGACGCCGCGUGAGUGAUGAAGCCCUUCGGGGUGUAAAGCUCUUUCGACGGGAACGAUAAUGACGGUACCCGGAGAAGAAGCUGCGGCUAACUACGUGCCAGCAGCCGCGGUAAUACGUAGGCAGCAAGCGUUGUUCGGAAUUACUGGGCGUAAAGAGUACGUAGGUGGUUUGCUAAGUCCGAUGUGAAAUCUCCUGGCUUAACUGGGAGGGUGCGUUAGAUACUGGCAGGCUUGAAUGUGGGAGAGGAGAGCGGAAUUCCUGGUGUAGCGGUGAAAUGCGUAGAUAUCAGGAGGAACGCCUGUGGUGUAGACGGCUCUCUGGACCAUUAUUGACACUGAGGUACGAAAGCGUGGGUGGCAAACAGGAUUAGAUACCCUGGUAGUCCACGCCCUAAACGAUGCAUACUUGGUGUGGGCAGUUCAGUCUGUCGUGCGGAGCUACGCGUUAGUAUGCCGCCUGGGAGUACGUCGCAAGCCUGAAACUCAAAGGAAUUGACGGGGGCCCGCACAAGCGGUGGAGCAUGUGGUUUAAUUCGACGCAACGCGAAGAACCUUACCUGGGCUCGAACGGCUGCAGACCCGUGGUAGAAAUACCAUUUUCCCGCAAGGGACUGUAGUCGAGGUGCUGCAUGGCUGUCGUCAGCUCGUGUCGUGAGAUGUUGGGUUAAGUCCCGCAACGAGCGCAACCCUUGUCCUGUGUUGCCAUCAUUUAGUUGGGCACUCUCAGGAGACCGCCAGCGAUAAGUUGGAGGAAGGUGGGGAUGACGUCAAGUCAUCAUGGCCUUUGUGUCCAGGGCUACACACGUGCUACAAUGGACGGUACAACACGUUGCAAACCCGCGAGGGGGAGCCAAUCGUAAAAAACCGUUCUCAGUUCGGAUUGCAGGCUGCAACUCGCCUGCAUGAAGCUGGAAUCGCUAGUAAUGGCAUAUCAGAAUGAUGCCGUGAAUACGUUCCCGGGCCUUGUACACACCGCCAUCCAUAUGACUAG